ACGACCAUAGACUGAGGAGAAUUGGGCAUCCCGUCCGCUCUGCCAUACACAAGCCUCAGAUCGGUAGAUUAGUAGUUGGGUGGGUGACCACCAGCGAAUCCCUACUGUUGUAUGUU
rnacentral:rRNA from 2 species